GAUGAACGCUGGCGGCGUGCCUAACACAUGCAAGUCGAGCGAUUCUCCUCGGAGAAGAGCGGCGGACGGGUGAGUAACGCGUGGGUAACCUGCCCUGUACACACGGAUAACAUACCGAAAGGUAUGCUAAUACGAGAUAAUAUGCUUUUAUCGCAUGGUAGAAGUAUCAAAGCUCCGGCGGUACAGGAUGGACCCGCGUCUGAUUAGCUAGUUGGUAAGGUAACGGCUUACCAAGGCGACGAUCAGUAGCCGACCUGAGAGGGUGAUCGGCCACAUUGGAACUGAGACACGGUCCAAACUCCUACGGGAGGCAGCAGUGGGGAAUAUUGCACAAUGGGCGAAAGCCUGAUGCAGCAACGCCGCGUGAGCGAUGAAGGCCUUCGGGUCGUAAAGCUCUGUCCUCAAGGAAGAUAAUGACGGUACUUGAGGAGGAAGC
rnacentral:rRNA from 1 species